AAAAACAUAUUUCUACAUAUACGUACGUACGUACUUAUAUAUAUAUAUAUAUAUAUAUAUAUAUAUGUAUGUAUAUCAUACACAAAAAUAAACAUUGGCAUAAAAAUGAGUGACGGAAAUAAUAUAAGUUCUAAAAACGUUAGACAUAGUAGUUGUGGUAGCUCAUUUAAUACGAAUGGUAAAACAAAUUUUGAAUUAAAUAGUGAUAACAUAGAAACAGUGAGAGCUUACAGUACUUGUAGCUUGAAUGGUGAAAACGAAAAUAAUAGUAGCAAUAGUAAUAGUAACAAUAGUAAUAGUAAUAAGUGCAGUAAUAAAAAUAACAGUAAACAAAAGAACAUAAUAUAUGAUGAUGGAAAUCCUGAAAUAGACUAUUUUGUUAAUAAAGAUAAUUUAAAAAUAGCUAGAUACGCAUGGAAAGCUAAAAACCCUAAAGCCUAUAUUUUUGCUUUACAUGGUAUAACAUCCCACUUAAGAAAUGAGUAUUUAAAUUAUAUGGGUCAACCUGAAUGGUCAUAUAAAAAUGGAACAAAUGUUAAUAAUGACAAAAAGAAAAGCCCAACAAGUUAUUCAGAUAUUGGGUCUACACAAAAAUCGGAUAUUAAAUAUAAAACAGAGUCACCUAACAUAGUUUCAGAAGACAAAAACAUAAUUAGUAAUAAACAUAAUGAUACAAAUUUAGAAAUUAACAAAACAGGAAAUGGUAAAGAAGAAAGUAACAAAAGUAAUAACAGCCAAAACAAUGGAAAUAUUUAUAAAAAUAUUGGCUCAGUUAAUAUAAAUGAUUUUAUGGCAAAAAACGGUGAUGAUAACCUAUGUGAAAAAAACAUGUAUUAUAAUAAGUUCAACGAGAAUGGUCAAUUUGUUAAUACUAAUAAUUUAAAUAGCUAUAAAGAUGACAAUAAAAAUAAGAAAAAGAAAAAAAAAAAAUUAAAGAAAUCAUUAUCAAAAUCAUCACCACCAGAUUUAGAAGAUGGUACUACUACUACUACUACUACUGUUACUACUCCUGCUCCUGCUCCUGCUCCUGCUCCUGCUCCUGCUCCUGCUCCUGCUACUAUUACCAAUAACACAAGUAAUACAAAUAUAUCUAACAUAAAUUGUAUUAAUCGUAACAGAAGUGGCAGUAGCAGCAGUAAUGGUAGCAGUAGUGGCGAUAGCAGUAGUGACGAUAGCAGUAGUGAUAGUUAUAAAUCUGGUAGCUCUGUUUUAUCAUAUAUGUCCUUAAAUGAUGCUGAACCCAAAAUGUUAGAUAAAAGAAAGAGUUCACUUUUUUCUUGUUUUUCUUGUAUGUCUUCAAAUAUAAACGAAAAUUCAAAUUUGUUAGGUAAUAACCAUAAUAUCAGCAAUAGUAAUAGUAAUAAUAUGAAUGAAAAAGGAUUGUGUAAUAUUACAACUAUUAUUACUAAUAAAGGUAAUAACAAUAUAAAAACUAACGGAUAUUAUAAUGGUCGUGGUGGUGAUAGUGAUGAUGAAAUGGAUAAUAUAAUAUGUGAUGAAAAUGUUUUAUUACCAACUAAAGAUGAGAAAUUCCAUGGUUAUGAUUCUAAUGUUUAUUAUUGUUCUAUGUGUGGUGUAUGUGAACAUUGUGAUUGUGGUCCUAGAACAUUGUCAUAUAAAAAUAGCUGGAUACAAAAGUUGAAUCAAAAUAAUUUUUCUUUUUUUGGUAUCGAUAAUCAAUCACAUGGUAUAUCUGAAGGAUAUGGUAAUUACAGAUGCUAUAUACAAAAUUUUAAUGAUUUUGUUUUAGAUUCUUUACAAGCAUUAGAACUGUUUAUAAAUGAAUGGGAAAAAAAAAAUGAAGUUAAACCUAUUAUUAUUAUGGGAUUAUCUAUGGGUGGUUGUAUAGCUUUA
rnacentral:lncRNA from 1 species